CUAGCUGUUCCUUCUUAUUAAAGAGGUAGCUCCUAAUCAUCAAAGAGGAGCUUCAACCAUGCAACUCUCUGUCUCCCAUCGAAAAACAUGGUGGUCUGAGAGUGGCCACCCCCAGAAGAUUUCACAUCUAUUGAGCUCUAAUCCAGUGUAGGUCUCAACCCAAACUGUUCCCAGGAUUGGAUACCUAUGGUGUGUUCGUUGUUUCCUUCCUUCAUACAUACAUAGAUGCCACAGUGAAUGCUAUUAUAGGCAUUAAAAUUGACAUAAGAACACCUCCUCAAAAAACUAAAAUGAGUUUAAUUGUCUAAAUAAUACCCC
rnacentral:lncRNA from 1 species